UCGGCUCUCACCGCCCCCUCCACCACCUCCCUCCACCCCACCCCGAGCCCGGCCGCUCGCCUCCUCCGCAGGCGCAGCAUCAUGCGUCCAAGCCCGUCCCAGGAGGUAGCCCCAACCCAGGCCAAACUAACCGCCUCUCCUCUCUCCUGCGUGGCCGCAGCUACCCCCGCGGCCGCAUCCAAGGCGGCGGGGUCAUGGGAGGGACCUGUGGAGCCUCAACGCAUAGGUCGAGCGCGACUAGCGCCGCCUCGUCGACUCCGCCGGCGGGCUCGAGCCGGCGCUCCGGCCUCCGGAGGCUCUCCAACGAACAGGUGCCGUGCUGCAAGGCUCCAGUGCUCCACCACCAGCUCCGCGCUGCUGUGGUGGUUCACUUCAGUUGUGCCUUGUGCAUAGAUUACUGAUUAACUGCAUUCUGCAGAUUUAUGUUCUUCUUCCACAUCUCUUUCAGGUAGCAUGAUUGAUAAUCGAUUCAUAACUGCAUACUCUAAUGGGUACCAACGUACGAGCAAGGGAUCCUUGAGAAUUUAAGGACGGGUCUAAGCAUGUGAACAGUGGUACUAUGCCCUUGGCAAUCAAGUCAAUCGCUUUCUUCUAGUCAGUCAAUAGUUGGAGUCUUGUGUGACACUUCAUUUGUCCUAGCCACUAGUGUAUUUCCCCUCGUUCUUUAUUUUCUGAAAAAGAAAUAGAAGUCGGUCCUUCAGCACCCAUGCUGAUAUUUCAACCCAGCGUACUCUUUUUCUUGGGCCAUCGAUGUGAUCCAGUGGCAAUCAAAGAAGACGUACCAUAGAUUUCAACCAGCCCCUAGUACUACCAAAGAGAUUUUUCCUUGUCUUCAUUCCAUGACUUGGUCGGCUGGUCGCCAGUCACCAUCCUCUGGCCCUGCAAAAUCAUUGCUAGCCAGAUGCAACUCCUCCGAGUCCAUCCAGGUUGAAGUAGCUGAUCUGCAACCGCAUACAAGCUUGCAUUUCUACCUCUCAUAGAUGGGGCCUUGCACCAUUGUUUUGCUCACCAGAUGCAACUCCUCCCACUCCGUCGAACUUGAACGAGACUUCAACAAAGCCCGGUCGGCAGCGCAUGCUUGUUCUUCAGCUUCUCAAAUUAAGAUUAUUGUGGUACACUUGUAAGCCUGAGCUCUCCAGUAAGCCCUACUAACUACCAUGGCAGAGGCUGUUGUCGGAGUGCUGAUUGGCAAGCUUGGAGAAAUCUUGGUGAAAGAGGCAGCAACCUAUAGUGCAUCCCUGCUUUCCAAGGAAGUUUCUUCCCUCAAGGGCCUUUUUGGUGAGAUCCGCAGAGCCGAGCAGGAGCUGAAGAGCAUAAAGGCUUACCUGCGUGACUCAGAGAAGUUCAAGGAUACCGAUGAGACCACUGGCAUCUUCGUGGAGAGUAUCCGGGAACUAUCUUUCAGGAUCGAGGAUGUUGUCGACGAGUUCAUGUACAAGUUUGAGGGUGACAAACAUGGAGGAUUUGCAGUCAAGAUAAAGAAGAAGAUCAAGCAUGUCAAGAUUUGGCGCCGUCUAGCUCUCGAGCUCAAUAAUAUCAAUGUUGAGCUUAAAGGAGCUGCAGAAAGGAGGGACCGAUAUGCUAGGCCAGGAAUGGAGAACUACACUGGGAAUACCGACCAUCAUGCCAAAUCCACCAAUCAAACUUUGUGUUUUGCAAGGGAAGAGGAUCUAGUAGGUAUUAAAGAUCAUGCAACCAAGCUCAAGGGGUGGCUAGUUGGUGAUUUGGAAGAAAGGAGCCCUAAAAUCACCACAGUUUGGGGGAUGGGUGGUAUAGGUAAAACAACUUUAGUUGAUCAUGUCUAUAAGAUUGUGAAACCAGAAUUUGAUGCUUCUGCAUGGGUAACCGUGUCCAAGAGUUACCAAGUUGAGGACUUGCUUAAGAAAAUUGCUGUAGAGUUUGGUAUCCCAGUCGAUUCAAGCAAUAUGGAUACGAGAAGAGCAGUUGAAGUCAUCCGUAACCAUCUUGAAGGUAAAAGGUUUCUCUUGGUUUUGGAUGAUGUUUGGGAACAGGAUGUGUGGAUAAACAAAAUCAUGCCUGUCUUUCCAACUAAUUGUACCAGCCGAUUUGUCCUCACAUCAAGAAUAUCUGAAGUUGCAUUUUUGGCAACUAAUAACUGUUCGAUUAAGCUUGAACCGCUACAAGAAUAUCACUCCUAUAUGUUAUUCUGCAAGGUAGCAUUUUGCAAUAAUGAUGAAAAAGGGUGCCCUUCAGAGUUAAAGGAUUUGAGCGCAAAGUUCUUACUAAAGUGCGGAGGUUUGCCUAUUGCGAUUGCAUGCAUAGGCCGGCUACUAUCUUGCAAACCCCCAACACACUCGCAAUGGGAAAAUGUGUACCAGAAGUUAGAGUUGCAGUCAACUAAAAAUGUGAUCCAUGGUGUUGAUACCAUUCUGAAAGUUAGCUUGGAGGAUCUUCCAUAUGAAUUGAAGAAUUGCUUUUUAUAUUGUGCAAUAUUUCCAGAGGAUUGUGAUUUGAAGAGGAGGAGGUUAAUAAGGCACUGGAUUACUGCUGGAUUCAUCAAGGAAAAAGAGAACAGAACACUUGAAGAAGUGGCAGAGGGUUUCUUGAAUGAGCUUGUAAAUCGGAGCCUACUACAAGUCACAAAGGAGAAUGAGUUUGGACGGGUGAAAUCUUUCCGAAUGCAUGAUAUCUUACGCUGUAUUGCUCUUGACAAAGUAGAGAAAGAAUGCUUUUGUAAAGUUUACCAGGGUUCUAGGACAUUUUCAGCCGAUGGCACACGUCGACUGUCAAUACAAAGCUCCAGUGUUGUGCCCUUGUGUCAAUUUGGUGCAACACAUCUGUAAGCAUUUAGGCCCUUAAGGUACUCAAAUCAAGUUGUUACCUAAUGAAGUCUUCAACUUGUUUAAUCUACGGCUUUUGGGUCUUCGAUCUACUAGUAUUAUUUAUCUACCUGAGGCAGUUGGAAGAUUACAGAACUUGGAAGUACUGGAUGUAUGCUUUACUGGUCUGCUUUCUUUCCCAAAGAGCGUAACGAAACUAAAGAAGCUUAGGUACCUGUACACAGGUGCGUGGCCCAGAGGUGGACCAUUUAUAUCUCUUGUUGGAAGCAAGGUUCCUAGGGGCAUAAGAAACUUGACUGCACUGCAUGCCCUCCAAAAGAUUAAAGCAAGCUUAGGGACUAUAUGUGAUGUUGCAGCUUUGACGGAGUUAAGAACAUUUGGAGUUAGCGAUGUGACAAGUGAGCACUCCUUAAGUUUGUGCGGUGCCAUCGGGAAAAUGGGCCACCUUGUCCAUCUGUCAAUUGCUGCAUCAAAUGAAAAUGAAGUAUUACCAUGGGAAGCCCUCCGUUUACCCGUAACUCUUUCAAAACUCAAACUGGAAGGGCAGCUGGAAAAGAAGCAGGUGUCUCAGAUCCUCACAUCCUGGUCACACCUUAAGAAUCUUACUCGGUUGACUCUAAUAGGCUCCAAGCUUGAUGAAGACUCGUUUCCUGGCCUUGUUGUGUUACGUGGUCUAUGCUUUCUUCAACUUAUAAAGGCAUAUGAUGGGAAGAAACUGUACUUAUCUGCUCUGUCAUUUCCAAGACUCAGAACACUGAGAUUCCAGGGUGCUCGGUGGCUGAACCAAAUAGAAAUAGCAGACGGUGCACUAGAAAACCUUGUUGAGCUAGAGCUUGCGUACUGUCCGGAACUGAAGCGCUUCCCUCAUGGCAUAGAGUACCUUACGGCCCUUGAUGAAUUGUCUUGGGUAGAUAACGCCGAUGAGUUUAUAGAGAUGCUCAGGGAGGAACCUGAAGCAAAUGAGUGCAAGGAAGAACAGAUGAGGAUUAGCCACAUUACAGAGGUUAUGAUUGUGUCAACUGAGAAAAACUUUUGGCGAAGAAUUGUUUCCAGAAAAGGGAAUGAAUUCGUUGGCUGAAGGCCUGCAUGAUAGCUGCUAUUCCCAGAGUUCAAGUACACGGUUGGUGCUGCCUUCAUCGCUCUGCAUUAAUUUGGUGGUUCAGUUCAGUGGUUUCUUAACAUGCAUAUCUAGCGAUGGCACAAGAGACACGCCUGCUGCAGCGAGGGAAGGACCUGAAUUCUGCACGGUUGCAGAUUGCAGAAUAGACCGAGAGUGUCAAUAUGAAUUUCUUAAGCAAUUUAUUGUGCAAGUUUAACCCAAGCACUGUUGUGAUUUAUGUGCUCCUAGUCAUUUGACUUGUCACUGGUGCAGAGACUAGUGAGUGCUUUGCAUUGGGUUUCUUUUGAGCCACGGGUAGGAGGAGAUUUGGCUUGAUGUCCUUCAUGUUGGUGCAGGAGCAAAGGUUAAUGGACCAGUGAAAGAAUAAUACAAGUAAACUGAAGGUUGGGCCGGCAAGCUUAUUUUACACACCAGUUCAAUGGGUCCGCUGUAAUUUCCGCCUUAUAAAUUCGCACAUUUAGGCCGUGCCAAUGUAAAUUCUAAUUGGUAGAGAGAAUACAUAACUUCUUUUUGUAUCAUUUUUUGUAAUGAUGCGAUGCGUCUUGGAUAUGAAACUUGAAGCCAUGAAGGCAGUGGGCAUCACCAUUUGCAUUCUCCUCUCUGAGAGUUUUCAAAUUCAAGGAUUUACGCCUUUGUUCAAGGUUGGCGUAAAGAAGGUAUAUAUUAAUUUACGCCUAGUCACGGGUCAGAUGAAAGAGCAACCCCCUUCGAUGUGGGACCAGCUUGUAAGAAACUGCGCAUGGCCCACAUGUAAGUAGUCUCCUACUCCAUCGUCCCCUUCUUUUCCCCUCCUCCGCUCAUCCCAACUGGCCGAUUUCCAUGGCCGCCGCCGCUCUCGGCUCUCGCCGCCCCCUCCACCACCUCCCUCCUCCCCACCCCGAGCCCGGCCGCUCGCCUCCUCCGCAGGCGCAGCUCCAAGCCCGUCCCAGGAGUUAGCCCCAGACCCAGGCCAAACUAGCCGCCUCUCCUCUCUCCUCUCUCCUGCGCGGCCGCAGCCUAGGCGGCGGGGUCAUGGGAGGACUUGUGCAGCCUCAACGCAUAGGUCGGGCGCGGCUAGCGCCGCCUCGUCGACUCCGUCGGCGGGCUCGACCCGGCGCUCCGGCCUCCGGAGGCUCUCCAACGAACAGGUGCCGCGGCUGCAAGACACCACGACCAGCUUCGCGCCCAGGCGUACCGGGAGAAGCUCGCCGAUGCCCAGGCAGGUUCUACUUCUACUGCCAGUUGCCGCAUUGCUGUCCUGUUUUAGGUUGAAUGCUGAAGGCAAGAGUAGUUGAGUUCUGCUUGGUUUGGUACGACUGAGGAGGUGAACAUCUGUUCCAUUGAGUCUAUCAUGCAUUUUACAUAUCUGUCCAACGUGACAUGUGCUCUUAUCUUAUCGCUAUUGUAGUGAAUCUGUUGGAUCACUGAAGAUAGUUAAUGCUGUAUUGUAGGAGUACUUACUAAGGCUUAUGACAGGAAGAAAUUUAGCUUAGCUACAACGUCAUUUCGACUACGACAACUAAGAAUAUCGGGUGCUCCAUGGCUUGGCCAAGUCAAAAUACUUGACUUUGCACUGAAAAGCCUUGUUAUGCUAGUGUUUUCAUACUGCCCAAGAUUGGAGCACCAACCUCGUGGCACUGAACUCUAGGCAUAGGCAGGAGAGUGAGUGAAAUAAAUGCAAAGAAGUGUAUGAAGAUUAGUCAUAUUAGAAAUGUUUGUGUCCAAUUAGCUAAGAAAAACAUAUGGGAAAGAAUUCCCUUGGUCCAGGCAUUUCCAAGGUCUGUAACAAGAAUGGUUGAGUUGAGUCUUUAUUUUUCAUUUGGCUGAAAACCUGUCACACUCUGGUUUCGCAGAACCUAGUAUACUUUGUGGUUGGUUUUCUCUUUCCUGCAGGUCCUUCAGUUUUGCUUGACAAGCGAAGCAAAAAAAAAAAAAAUUUACUAACUUGGCUAGCACAUACUAAAUAAAGGUAUUAGUAUUAUGCAGCUUGCUGGGUCGGUGGUAACACGAUGUUAGUAUCAUAAACAUCUGUUUGAUUUCUAUAUAUGCUUCAAGGUUGCUGCCUUGCUUGGUCUGCUGUGGUGGUUCACUUCAGUUGUGCCUUGUGCAUAGAUUACUGAUUACCUGCAUUCUGCAGGGUUCAUGUAUCUACUUUUGAUAGGUUUAUGUUCUUCCACAUCUCUUUCAGGUAGCAUAAUUGAUACUGGAUUCAUAACUGCAGACUCUAAUGGGUACCAACGUACAAGCACGGGAUCCUUGAGAUUUUAACGACGGGUCUAGGCAUGUGAACAGUAGUACUAUACCCUUGGCAAUUAAGUCAAUCGCUUUCUUCUAGUCAGUCAAUAGUUGGAGUCUAUUUCUUGGGUGACAUUUCAUUUGUCCUAGCCACUAGUGUAUGUCCCCUCUCUCUUUAUUUUCAACCCAGUGUACUCUUUUUCUUGGGCUGUUGAUGUGAUCCAGUGGCUAUCAAAGAAAACUGUACCAUAGCUUUCAACCAGCCCCCUAGUAUUACCAAAGAGAUUUUUCCUUGUCUCCAUUCCAUGAAGCCACACAAAGUCUCUCGACUUGUCUCCUUAAGCUUGUAGAUGUUGGUCACCGGUCAUCAUCCUCUGGCCCUGCAGAAUCAUUGCCAGCCAGAUGCAACUCCCCCUAGUCCAUCCAGGUUGAACAUAGCUGAUCUGCAACGCAUACAUGGUUGCCUUUCUACCUCUCAUAGAUUGGUAAUAAUUCUCCAUCAAAUUUCAUCAGUUCAAAGUUUGUUCAGUAUCAAUAUGCAAGUUCAGAUUGUUAAACUGAAAACAGGCUCAUGAAAUUGAAUUGACUUGUGAGAUUUAGGAUUGAAAGUCACACGUACGUAGCUUGAAUUGAUUUUUCCCUGUCUCCUUCCUUCGACAAAGAAGAACCACAGUUCUUGUGGCAAACUGCCUCUGGAGCCGCAGCAUUGUUGCUUGCCAGACGUACUACAUCGACUCGUCGAAACUUACUACCACUUCAGCGAGGACAAACCUGCAACCAUAAAUAUUCGG